ensembl:piRNA 21ur-11060 ncRNA
UGUUAGAACUUUUUGGUUAAU